rnacentral:rRNA from 1 species
AUUGAACGCUGGCGGCAGGCCUAACACAUGCAAGUCGAGCGAGCGGCGGACGGGUGAGUAAUGUCUGGGAAACUGCCUGAUGGAGGGGGAAAACUACUGGAAACGCUAGCCAAUACCGCAUACUAUCAGAUGUGCUCAGAUGGGAUUAGCUAGUUGGUGGGGUAAUGGCUCACCUAGGCGACGAUCCCUAGCUGAUCUGAGAGGAUGACCAGCCACACGGGAACUGAGACACGGUCCAGACUCCUACGGGAGGCAGCAGUGGGGAAUAUUGCACAAUGGGCGCAAGCCUGAUGCAGCCAUGCCGCGUGUGUGAAGAAGGCCUUCGGGUUGUAAAGCACUGUCAGCGGGGAGGCGGUACCCACAGAAGAAGCACCGGCUAACUCCGUGCCAGCAGCCGCGGUAAUAC